rnacentral:rRNA from 1 species
GAUGAACGCUGGCGGCGUGCCUAAUACAUGCAAGUCGAGCGAACAGACGAGGAGCUUGCUCCUCUGACGUUAGCGGCGGACGGGUGAGUAACACGUGGAUAACCGACCUAUAAGACUGGGAUAACUUCGGGAAACCGGAGCUAAUACCGGAUAAUAUAUUGAACCGCAUGGUUCAUUAGUGAAAGACGGUUUUGAUGUCACUUAUAGAUGGAUCCGCGCCGCAUUAGCUAGUUGGUAGGGUAACGGCUUACCAAGGCGACGAUGCGUAGCCGACCUGAGAGGGUGAUCGGCCACACUGGAACUGAGACACGGUCCAGACUCCUACGGGAGGCAGCAGUAGGGAAUCUUCCGCAAUGGGCGAAAGCCUGACGGAGCAACGCCGCGUGAGUGAUGAAGGUCUUCGGAUCGUAAAACUCUGUUAUUAGGGAAGAACAAAUGUGUAAGUAACUAUGCACGUCUUGACGGUACCUAAUCAGAAAGCCACGGCUAACUACGUG